rnacentral:lncRNA from 1 species
AUUUGAUGCAUUAACAGCUUCAGCAUUAUCUCUGUCAAUUUCCAUUUCUGUGAUCCCAUCGACAGGAUUUCUAUCCUGUUGAGAAUUCAGAUCACUGUGUUCACCCUGCCGAGUUUCAGUGUGAACAGUAGUACCCUCAUUCAGAUCACUGUAUUCACCCUGCUGAGUUUUGGUGUGAACAGUAGUACCAACAGACUGUACUUGCUCAUCAUUGCCAUUAAUUAAAGGCACAGAGCUCCCUUCAAAUCCACCUUCAGCAAUAUCAGGUCU